rnacentral:rRNA from 1 species
UAGCAAUGUGCGAAAGCACGACUGGGUCAGUCCGAGUGAUUCCUGCUAAAGGAGUCUUUUGCCUGUCCUAAAAGCACAGGUGAAUAAGGGGUGGGCAAGUCUGGUGUCAGCCGCCGCGGUAAUACCAGCACCUCGAGUGGUCAGGACGUUUAUUGGGCCUAAAGCAUCCGUAGCCGGCUCUGCAAGUCUUCGGUUAAAUCCACCUGCUCAACAGAUGGGCCGCUGGAGAUACUACAGAGCUAGGGAGUGGGAGAGGCAGACGGUAUUCAGUGGGUAGGGGUAAAAUCCUCUGAUCCAUUGAGGACCACCAGUGGCGAAGGCGGUCUGCCAGAACACGUUCGACGGUGAGGGAUGAAAGCUGGGGGAGCAAACCGG